ACUGUACUCCAGCCUGGGUGACAGAGCAAGACUCCGUCUCAAAAAAAAAAAACAAAAAAAACUGCCUUUCUCUAUUGUAUAACAAAAUUACUUGCUGUAUCAUUAAGACCACUAUCUUCUUCAGUAAAUACUUAUUAAGCUUUGGUACUAUGUGCAAACCAUUCAUAUUAAGGUUACAUGAAAUAAAAGAUACAGUCCCUAGAGCUGAGAACUUUACAGUCAAAUUACGAAAACAAAGUAUAUUUAUAAACACAAUAAACAGUAUUUGCAAGUUUGCAUUAUUAAGCGUCAAGUAAGACGUACCAACAAUCAAUGCUAAUGCACAGCAAGGAAAGCCCAACAAGGGUAGUUGGUCAGGACAGUUUUAGUAGCAGAGCCAUAAGCUGGGUAUUAAAUAAGAGGACUUGAUGCUAAGCACAGAAAACACAAAAGAAACUACUUCCUGCUGUUUGGGAACUUACACUGUACCAUAUAUUAGUUAUGUCUAUACUAGUAAGUGAUAAAUAGACUCUAUCAAAAGUGCAAUCAACUAAAGAGGCAUUUGAUAAGCAGCUAACACAACAAGGUGUUAAAAGGGAAGUUUCUGCUGAGAACCAAAGACAACAGAAAUGACAUUCCAAAGCAGCUGCCAGAACAUUCUCGAAAAUGAGAAGAGGCAGUCUAAAGAAAAGAGUGCUAAGGUGUGUUACUGUCUACCCCCACCACCAGUGAAGUGGCGCUUCAAGGAGAUUACAGAAUAGGUUUCAGAGAUUUCCCUGGGGAGAGCUGUGGUAACAGGGGCCUGUGUCUUCGAGGGGGAAGGGUGGAAGAUGCUUGUCCCACAUCUAAAGCCUAGGGAAAAAGGCUUUGCGCGGAUGACUUGAAGAACUUGACAUGUGUCUCAAGCAGUUUGAAGAACAUGCUGACCUGGUACCUGAUUAAUCCCUGGAAAAUCUAAAGGAUGAGAAGCUGCAUGAAGAGGCAUGUGAGAACGAGAGAGAGGGCUGAACUGGGACCACCAGCAGAGUUUGUGCAAAGAAUGAGUGCUCCCUAUGUGGCCUCUACAGGAGAGUGAGCAACCUGGGGUAGGAUCACACGAGUCCAUGCAAGAGGGGCAUCUAGAGUUUGCACAGACCUCUGCACAGUGAAGGUGAAGGUACUGCUAGCUCUAAGAGGCUGAGGAAGGAGGAAGCAACCAACCAGAACGUAAGGGAAUUCUCACUGUCAAGGAAUUCAGGUGAAAAUCUAGAGCCACUGAGGUGGGAGGUAGAGGAUUCUCCAGUGAAACAACAAGGUUUAAACAUUCUGCAACGGCUACAAAAGCACUGAAACUAAAUCACCAGCUAGCUUCUUCACUAAUCAAGUAAAAGUUUGCUGCUCCUCUGUCCUCUUUUUGCUUCUUCCUUGUCCAACUUUGGAAGGGUCAGAAACCAGAACUGGCAAGACAAAGCAGGAAGAGUAGGAAAACCAGGUAAGAAGUAAAAAAGGCAAUGAUACCCCCUUCCCCAGUUACUGGCUUCCUCCUUGCAAGAGACAGAAAAAGAGACCAGUUAAGGGAGAAGCCUCAUCUUUAUUUCAGGCUUGGUCUGCAGUUUCUACUUGUUGGUACUGGGCAUUUUAAUUUUAAUAAUCAAAUUGAGACUUCUGUGACUUUGUUACUGAAGGAUGAUUUGUAUUAUCUAAGAGCAACCAGAAAAAUUAAGUUAAUCCAUGGCAGAGGAUGAACCAGUCUCAAAGAGUAAAUUGAAAGAGACAAAAAGAGAAAAAAAUUUGAAGUGACAAAAAAAAAAAAGCUUUUAUAAUUACAUCCCACAAGGCCUGCUUUUCAACCUCAUAUCCUGAAAAGUCAACACAGUGGAGAGCACAGAAGUAUACAAAUGUGGUCUUAUAAAACAUAACUGAACCCAUCCAGCUUCACUGCCUAUCCUGAGAUAGUUCAGCUAUUAACAUUUGCAGCAACUUGCCAUAAUGUAGCUCAAGAAUCUAAUAUUAAUUCUUAAAACUUGACAUGAGUGACCCAAAUAUGCUAGGCUUCCUUUAAAAGGCAGAGACUGUGUCUUGCUCCCAGCUGUAUCUGUAACACCCAAAGUCUCCCUUAUAUUAAAGGUGCUUAAAGAACUGCUGUUCUCCUUACCGUGAGAAGGUUGCUAUGUUAGGCUCUUAGGAAACAGGAUCUGAACAAAUAUGCAUACAGCAAAGACUGCUUUUUAGUUAAAAAUAUAUUGAGCUUCGCUCUGGGCAAAAUUAUAAUAUAUAUUACUUUCAUGCUUAUCCUUUCAUAGCGAGUCAAAUCUUUGAAACAUGCACACUGUAUUUUCAGUACUAUACUACCACAAUACAGAAUAAAUGUGAAAUCUUUAAACUUUGAUAUUCGAAGGAGAAAAAAAUACUACUAUAUACAUAUUUUUAAAAAGUUUAGCAGAAAACUCUCAAAAUAAGUGCACUAUCAUACAACGCUGUUAAAUGCAGAAUGGUUUAUUUUAAAAGGAGAGAAGCAUUUUAAAAAAUAUCCAUAUUUUAUUAAUACUCAUAUUAGUAUAUGUCUUUUCAGUGAGUGACAGCCUGAAUGAAGAGCCUACUAUGUGCCGCUACAAUUCUGUAAAACAGGUAUUAUCAUCCCUAUUUUAAAGAUUAGGAAACUGAGGCACAGUGUUUAAUGGCUUGCUCAAGGUCACAACAGUAGUAAGUGGUGGAGUGAGAAUUUUAACUCAGUGUGUCAGGUUCCCACACUGCUCUUAAGUGUGCUGCUGCUAUAAUGCUGAAGAGUUGAGUUCUACUGACUUCUUUCCAAAAGAAAUAAAAUCCAAUUUUAAUGGUUACGUUUACAGUGUACAAUUAUGAAAUAUAAGCCACUGUCAAGCUCCAACCAUAGUGGGAACGCACCUCUGCUAAUAUGAAUAAACUCUUCAUGAGUAAAAAUUCUAUAUGGCAGAUAGUAGUAAAGUUCGUAACAGUCCCUCUCUAUGUUUAUAUACAUUCAUGAUGUCAUGCUUAUGGUACAGUAUUUACAAUAAGUGUAUAUGACUGUAAAAUUUGACAACUUUCAAAAUGGUACAUAAAGAAAGCAAGUCUUAUUAUAUGUCUGUAGAAAUAGAAAGAUGUUGGCUGCAACAGAGUCCUAUUAUCAGACUGUUUCAUUCUCAGGCCUUAUCUUAGUAAAUCAAGGCAGGAUAAUCCCUAGAUAUUUCAGGAUAUGUUAAUGGUUCUUAUUGGAAUGAUUCUGUCCCAACUACCUUGCCCCAUCCUGGGAAAAUUUGGUAAUAUCUGGAGGCAUGUUUACUGUCAUGACUGGGGAUGGGUGUGGGAGGGUAGCUACUGGUACCCACUGAGUACUGCCAGGGAUGCUGCUAAACAUCCCGUAACGCACAGGAUAUCCCACAACCAACAAGGAAUUAUUCAGUCCAAAAUGUCAAUAAUGUGACAAUAUCCAGUCCAAAAUGUGACACUGAGAAAGCUAGUAUGAAGGAUUAAAUGUCUGAAGUACUUAGCAGAGGGUGUGGAGAGUGUUUAGAGACUGUAACUACAAACACAAAACCACAGAGUCCAAGUAACACUCAGUAAAGAUCAGAUGAGGCAUUCAAGCAGUGUGAGAGCACUGGCCUGAGAGCACCCUCUUGUCUCAUUAGAUAUGAGGUGGGUAAUGUAAUGGGAGAAAAUACCAGCUUCCAAUCAAUACACCUACCUUUACCGGUGGUGCUGACUUAUUUUUUUCUGAUAAAAGAACAGGAAACUGAAAAAGUGUUAAGUAGAAAGAAAAAAAAUAUACUGAAGAGCAACAGCUUUUAUUAAACAGUACACAGUCCCACAACCAAUUUACUGAGUUUUCCUAUUACUUACAGUAGGGCUCUAGAGGGUUACAUCUAAAAUGAGAACAGUGGAUGUUAUGGAUGCAUCAUAAGAGAAAAUCAGAAUAAAUAUUCAUGUGCUUCAUUCAGGACAUCAGUAUUCGGAAGAUCAAACACUGUUGCAGGAAGCCUGGCUUUUAGACUCCAAAUGUGUAAAUGUUCUGAUGAUACACUACUAUCAUUCCUUCUUAGAUCUUCCUUUCUCUGAAUGCAAUACUCUGACAAAAAAGGAAACAAAACACCGCACAAACAACUUCUGAGUCAGUGCUGAGAUAAAAUAAAAGAUGAAAACUUCACAAGACGUUGGCUGAGUUUAACUGUUACCUACCUGUAACUUUUCUUUUGCUCUUCCAUUUGUGCUCUCAUUUUGUAGUCCUUUUAUGUUAUCUUUUCUAUCCUCAGUCACAUUUCUUUACUAAAAUCUUUUUAUUCUCUUUUCAUCCUUUUUUCACUCCAAUUUCCUUCCUUUCCUCUCUUCGGAAUCUCAUGUCUUACUUCACUCUCUCAAAAGUGCCAACCAGCAAUGGGAUUAUAUGAGAACUCUAGAGUUGAGUCAGACUCAGAGGCUAUCUAGCAGUAACCCCCACGAUGCCCAUCUCUCUUCAGCAUACGAACUCUCCUAACAAGCUGUUAGGAGACAGCUUAAACACAUUAAGGUACACCACAUUUCUUAACUUUCAGACACCAUAAAUCACUUCUUACUGAUAGGUACUGCUAGAUUGCUGGUGAGAUCUAAGCAGAGCAAUAUAACUGAUAGGAAUUGCUCUUGCUUCACAAAUACCAAUUCCUUCUCAUUAUCGACAUUUAUUAAAUUAGAAAAAAGUCCCCUGAUUUAGUUACAGUCCUAACUACACGUGGCUGAAUUUGACGGCUAUCUGCUCCUUGAAAAUUAUCCUUCGAUAGACAAACAUUGAACUAGAUGCAGACACAGUGUGAUUCAUCUAAUAAGCCUUGUUUGACAUUUUGUCAGGAUAAGGAAUGACUCAUUAAAUGCCCCAAAUCGGCACUCAAGGUAUGUUUUACCCUUCUACAUUCCUCUGAAAGUUGAGUCUCCCCUUAACUAACCAGUAAGAUACGGUUUAAUUCCGAGUCAUAUUACGUAAAUACGGUACUGUACUUCAACUGGUACUGUAGUGUGAUGCCUCGUGGAGCCCUGGCAGAUGCAUGGGAGCAACAGUAAAGUGAUUCAGUAUUGUGGAGUAAAGGAACUAAAUCCUAAUUUGUUCUGUGCUGGCUUAGCCUUAAAGGGCAAGCAGGUGCAAGUCCCUUACACCCACCGUGCCGUUGUGCAGUCUAGUUUAAAUUCAUGUUGCCAGCGUUACACCAAAGUUUGCAGGGUUUUGGAGGUGUCUCCGGCUGUUGCUUCGGCGGAGGAGUCGCGUUCCCCUCGCUGCGGGCGCAAGACGUGCUGCCUCCCAGGCAGGCAGGUACUGAGGCUGCAGUGAUGACUAAAAAGUAGUCUCUUCAGGACAGUAGUCUCUAUCCUGAAGAAGUUAGAAGUCUAGUGAAGAUGAACAAAUGAAGAAUUAGGUGCUACAAAGUGGGUUUUAGGUAGGAAGCAGUCAAAACAACAAACAAAACACAACAAAAACAACAAGGAAGAACCGGAGGAGCCUGUAUCAGGAAAGCAAAACUUUUGAUCUCAAACAGACUUGAGCUUCUAUCUCCAGGACAGAACUGUGUCGUACGCUCAUCUCGGCUGCAAGAGAGGUAAGGAAAUGAUUUUUUUUAGCUGGGUACCCUGUGACCUAAUCAAAAUUGGGGUUUUUAUUUGUAGGCAAAAAAGUGAAAAGGAUAUCCGAUAGACAACUAGCAGGGUCUAUCCCAUGGAACAGCCAGAGGCAGUUCCUCUGAAUGAUGAAGACCUACUUUCAGAGCUUGAAGAUGUGGCAAGAUUAUGCAUGUGUGGUUGGCUGAGACAUUUCAGGCAAGACUGAAAGCUGUGAACAGAAUUUCAAGCACUCAGAUACUGAUUCACCAUUCUUUUAUAUUUCACAAUUAAAAUACUCCUUAUUAGUUAAACCCACACAAAUGCUUCUAGCGUUUCUUACGUUGAACAUAGGUGACCUGGGGAAAAAUGUGAAUUCCAUUCUAAAGAGGCAAAAUUUAACUCAGUAAAAAACUGCUAUGGUUUUGCCAAACAUUGGGUCUAGUUCAUGAAUAUUUGCUGCCACCUGCAGUUUAAACUUGAUAUUCACUCUGGUCACCACCUGUGACUGAAGCGUGGCCCAGCAAAUGAAAAGGAAGGUUGCGAUGAGUAUCCUCGUUAUUGCCGCAGCCUUAUGCUUACUGAAAAUUGAAGUUUCUAUUUGUACAUCCCUGUUCAUAGCAACAUUAUUUAUAAUAGUCAAAGCGUGGAAGCAACCCAAGUGUCCCUCGAUGGUAAAUGGAUAAACAAAAUAUGUUAUAUACAAACAAUAUAAUAUUAUUCAGCCUCAGAAAGGAAGUUUUGACACAUGUUAUCACAUAGAUGAGCCUUGAAGACUUGACUGCAAUAAGCUGAUUACAAAAAGAUAACUAAUAUAUUAUUUCACUAUAUGAGAUUCUCAGAGCACUUAAAUUCUCAGAAGCAGCAAGUAGAAUGGUGGUUGACAGGGGGUAGGGAGGAGGAGGGAAUGGAGAGUCAGAGUUUAAUGGGUACAGAGUUUCAGUUGGAGAAGAUGAAAAAGGACUGGAGGUGGAUGGAGGUGAUGGUUGCACAAUAAUAUGAAUGUUCUCAGUGCCUAGAAUUGUACACUCGAAAAUGGCUAAAAUGGCAAAAGAGAAUUUUUUAAAAUGUUGUAUUUCCAGGGAAAUGAGGAAGCUGA